rnacentral:lncRNA from 1 species
AGUCUAAAAACUUUUCACAAUAAAAUAUUCUUUAAAUAAUGUAACUCUUGGAGUGGACAUGGGUGGGAUGGGAAAUAGUUUUGUUGUUUUUACUUUAUAUCAUGUUGUUCUGUUUGCUAUUUUUCUUAACAAUGAAUAUGUUUCUUAUAGUAAUUUUUUAAAAAGAUGAAGACUGUGUCACAAGUUUCCGGUACUCCCAACUGAAUUCCAAAUAAAAUUGACAACUGGCUCUUGGCAAAAGAUUUCCCAAAGACAUCUUCAUGCACGCUUGUCUAUUUAUUUAUUGGCCGUGGGAUUCGCCACCAUUGGGCGAGUGGGUCAGUGGAAGGUCUGCCUGUCCUGAGGCAGCUCUUGGCAUCUGACCCAUGGUCCUACAAUGUGAGUUGUGCAGUUGGCACCCAGUAUGGAGCCUUUUGCUUUCUGUCCUUCACAAGCUGGGAUGAUAUAUCUUCUACGACAGGAUAAAGAAGCCAUCCUGAGUGUUGGAUACCCAGUCCCGGCGAGGUAGCAUCUUCCCGAGGACAGCAAUGGUGGCCAUGUCUCCCAAGACAGCACAAUCUUUCCCAGAGACAGGAAAACAUAAGAUGAAUCUCACCAAGGCCAAGGAGAGAAGAUCGCCCACUCCCUUACUGCUCCAGACCUAGAGGCACAAGGCUAGAGUGGCCAAGAAAGUUACCGUAUUGACAGGCUUCACGUUUCAGUUCUGGCUUGCUGCUGGUCAUCUAAACACUCUUUGGUACACUGAGGAACAGAACGGCCAUCAGCACUGAGGGAGAGAACAGAAGUGUGGUCGUUGGCUGAGUGGAACACACGAGACGGAACCUGGACUGCUCCACCCAACCCAUGGAAGCUUCCUUGGGGGAGAAGAAAAUUGCAGAGAAGGGGCUGUUUUCCUGUUUUCUCGGGACAUCCCCGAGGGUGGAGAAGAAGAGGUGUUUCCCAACGGAGCAAGCAUCAGUAGGGAAAGGUGAACUGCAGGGGAUUCUCAGAGGACCGCGACGAGACCCGUAUCCUAUUGUCUUGGAUCUGGUUCAGCACACCACCGCUCUGCUGGCGUGCAGACGUGUAGUAAAAUCUUCUUCCGCACAUUUUUUCUGCUCGCUGACUUCAUCAAAAAGUGCUUUCCAAGCGUCUGAUCGCCCGUGGUGGAGGACGGUUGUUUGGCAGAAAGGAUUAAGGUCUUUUGCUGUGUUUGGGUGCCGACUGUCUUUGAGAAUGCUGAUCAGAGAGGACUCCCUUCUGUUGGCCAGGCCCUAA